GAUGAACGCUUGCGGCGUGCCUAAUACAUGCAAGUCGAGCGAACAGAUGAGGAGCUUGCUCCUCUGACGUUAGCGGCGGACGGUUGAGUAACACGUGGAUAACCUACCUAUAAGACUGGGAUAACUUCGGGCAACCGGAGCUAAUACCGGAUAAUAUAUUGAACCGCAUGGUUCAAUAGUGAAAGACGGUUUUGCUGUCACUUCUAGAUGGAUCCGCGCCGCAUUAGCUAUUUGGUAAGGUAACGGCUUACCAAGUCAACGAUGCGUAGCCGACCUGAGAGGGUGAUCGGCCACACUGGAACUGAGACACGGUCCCGACUCCGACGGGAGGCAGCAGUAGGGAAUCUUCCGCAAUGCGCGAAUGCCUGACGGAGCAACGCCGCGUGAGUGAUGAAGGUCUUCGGAUCGUAAAACUCUGUUAUGAGGGAAGAACAAAUGUGUAAGUAACUAUGCACGUCUUGACGGUACCUAAUCAGAAAGCCACGGCUAACUACGCG
rnacentral:rRNA from 1 species